rnacentral:lncRNA from 1 species
UUCUCUAAAGGGAUGGGAAAUGCCAGCCAAUGAGGAGGAAAAGCCCUAAGGGGAGUAGGGUUCAAGUGUGGAAGUAUAGCAACAAGCAUAGGUUCCCAGAAUCCAAAGGAACCUCGGCCCGUCAGGAUUCUCUCUCGAUCUAUUACACUGCUGAUACCUCUGGUGGCGCGGUAGCUGGCCUUUUUUUUUCCUUCUAUUUUUUGGUUUUUGUUUCUUUUAACUUUUGAAGGGAGAAAGUGAG